rnacentral:lncRNA from 1 species
UCACACGCAUGUUCGGCCUUCCACUAGUAGAGAACAACCUUCACUUUAUUUCUUCUUCCAUCCCUCACGCUCACCCAUUUCCCCUUCACCUUUCUUCUUCCUAUUUCCCCUCCCCUCAACGUCUCCACCAUCUUCAUCUUUCCACGCCAGCAACAACUUCACAAACCUCACACCACUAGCAACACCGUCCACUUCUCCUCAGCCCCACACAUCCCCUCACGCCAGCAGCUC